rnacentral:rRNA from 1 species
AACGAACGCUGGCGGCAGGCCUAACACAUGCAAGUCGAACGCUCCGCAAGGAGAGUGGCAGACGGGUGAGUAACACGUGGGAAUCUUCCUGUUGGUUCGGAAUAGCUCAGGGAAACUUGGGGUAAUACCGGAUAAGCCCGAGAGGGGAAAGAUUUAUCGCCGACAGAUGAGCCCGCGUCUGAUUAGCUAGUUGGUGAGGUAAUGGC